CAACAAUCCCCCUCAUACAGAAGGGACACAAAGUCUUUUUUGCAGGAGAUGGAAAGUAUAGAAUGGCAGGGAAUGGCUGGAUGUUACCUCACUGUAUACCAUCAUUAGUCAUGAUUUGGUAUUGGAGUAAUCAAUUAUUUAUUUUUAUGAGAUCUCACAAAGUUUAAAGUUUUUUUUUUUUAAUGGGCAUUCGUUUCAUCCUAGAACACAAUUAAUUUUUCUUUGAGGGUUAUUUUUAUUUACAGAUUAGAAGUAAUGCCAUGGGUACCAGGUUUGCCCCCAGCUAUGCCAACACCUACAUGAGGAGGUGGGAAGACCUUUUUGUGUGGUUGGGGCAUGGCUGGAGGGACAACCUGGUCCUAUGGCGGCAUUAUAUUGAUGAUGUGAUUAUAAUUUGGA